UACAGAGGUCCCAAGCGUUGUUCGGAUUCACUGGGCGUAAAGGGUGCGCAGGUGGCUUGGUAAGUUUGAUGUGAAAGCUCAGGGCUCAACCCUGAAAUGGCAUUGAAUACUAUCGGGCUUGAGGUUUGGAGGGGGGACUGGAAUUCUCGGUGUAGCAGUGAAAUGCGUAGAUAUCGGGAGGAAGACACCGGUGGCGAAGGCGGCGAUCCUGGGUCGAA
rnacentral:rRNA from 1 species